AAAUAAUUUCCUUGUUUCGAUUGAAAACAAAUGAAUAAAACAAGGAAAAGAAGAAUCUUCAACUUGGGUUUUACCGAACGAGAGCCGAAAGCAAGUAAUAGCGUACCAUUUGGAUUGCUUUCAAGUAUCCUGGGCCUCGUGGAUGAUGCUUUCUUCUACUUCUCUCUCUCUCACUCUC